rnacentral:rRNA from 1 species
UUACCUACGGGGGGCAGCAGUGAGGAAUAUUGGUCAAUGGGCUUACGCCUGAACCAGCCAAGUCGCGUGAGGGAAGACUGCCCUAUGGGUUGUAAACCUCUUUUGUCAGGGAGCAAUUGGCGCUACGUGUAGCGUUAUCGAGAGUACCUGAAGAAAAAGCAUCGGCUAACUCCGUGCCAGCAGCCGCGGUAAUACGUAGGGUGCGAGCGUUAAUCGGAAUUACUGGGCGUAAAGGGUGCGCAGGCGGUUGAGUAAGACAGAUGUGAAAUCCCCGAGCUUAACUCGGGAAUGGCAUAUGUGACUGC